ACAGCUGGAAGGCAGUAACUGGCAGCCGGAUGGUAGGCGGGACCUGCCAUUCGGUGGGAGCCAAUCAGUAUCGACCAACGUGGGCGCAACCAAUCAGAUAUAACUGCACCCGAACGCUUCAGUAAUGGUUGCGAUUGAUCAAACGUUGCCAGAUGCUGUUCUGUUGGAAAUUCUUCUUUACGUGAUCCUGGAGGAGGGGUGAUGCUACAUUACUAAGUCCGUCUUUGGUUCGUUCCAAAUUCAGAAGUCUGCUGUACUGUAUACAGACUCCUUUCGAAAGAGGGCACAAUCCAGCUGGCUUGACUGAGUAUCUUCUUUUACAUAUUUGAUUAGAGGUUUAAAAAGGUGGAACAAAAUGGAGAACAAGUCUAAGCCAUGUCAGGAAUUCAACAAAAUGUACACCCUGCAGACACUGCGACGAGGUUUACAACAACUGCUUACCAGGUCACUGCAGUCACCCACAUCCAGUACGUAUCCAGACCAGAUGGUGGAUCAGCACCUAGAAAGGACCUCUACAGCCCUGAAAGACAGCGGAGACCAGGACAACUAGAGCCCCAGAUACAGAUCCCCUGUAAAGACCUUGUUUUUUCUCCAUUUUGUCACCGGUGGAGUUUUGGUUCCUUCUCGCCUCUGGCUUGCUUCGUUGUGGUCACUUCAUUUACAGUGAUAUCAUUGACAUGAUCGCAAACGAUUCCACAGAUACUAUUUAAACUGAACCGAGCUGAAGGAUGACAUCACUGAAUUGAAUGAUAAACUGCCUUUUAAACUGACUACAAACUGAGUUUACUAAUGUCCUUCUGCAUUAU